UUAGGGAGCUACAUACCAUAUGCCGGUAGAAACAAAUUGAUGCUUCAAGGAUAAAUUUGAGCAUCAACACAAUGCUUCACAGGCUUAACAUUUCUCAGCUGCUAUGAAUCAUCAGCACUAAUGUAUUCACAACAGACGAGGACCAACUGCUGCUAUCAAAGGACUUGCUUGAAUAACUGUAAUAACUGGAAAAUUAUUUUGAUAGCCUGAAACAAUCUUAUAUAUCACAGAACUUACUGUUCUGCCAAAUUCUGCGUGGACCUUCCUAAGCUACCACCCAGUUUGUGUCUCUGUAGCACUCCUCCAACAGUAUCUUCCCUGGAUACUUUCACUAUCAAUAAGAAAACAGUGUCCUGGAAGAGCACUGGACUCCAUGAAAAUCGCUCUCCUUGCACAGUGAUCUGGAACCUUCUGCAAGUGGGCUAUGAAGGUUUGAAUAUGCUUGACACGUAGAAAGGUCUACUAUUAUGAGGUGCAGAGACCGGGGAGUUACUGCAGGUCAUCAAAUAAUAGUAAAUGAAGAAUGAAUGAAGUCCAAGAUGUCUAGUGAAAAGAACACAGAUGAACAGAAAAAUCAUGCUCAAGAUUGCCUUUGGAGCUUCCCUGUGAACUACCAGAUAAGGCUGCAGCAGUGAUUUCUCUAGUUCAGUGCUAAGUAAUGCUACUUGACAAUAAAAAGUUUAUGACCUGGAGAUGAAAAGGGAGGGGGAAAAAAAGCAACCAUGAAUCAAAAUGAACAAGGAUUCCUAACCCCUGUCCUUGCUCUGUGGCCCACAUGCUCAGUGUAGACACUAUUGCUACACAGCUGGGCUUUCAAGAAUUGCCUGCCAAUAUUGACAUUACCCCAUCCUAUGUAAGGAAAUCAAGGUGGACUGGUGAACAAUCACUUUCAAAGCUAAUUAUUAAACCUGCAGGUCAGAGCUCUCA
rnacentral:lncRNA from 1 species